rnacentral:rRNA from 1 species
GUCUAUGGCCAUACCACCCUGAACACGCCCAAUCUCGUCUGAUCUUGGAAGCUAAGCAGGAUCGGGCCUGGUUUGUACUUGGAUGGGAGAAGCAUUCCCAGAGGUUGGUCUAGUUC